rnacentral:rRNA from 1 species
GAACAUGGCGGAAGGCUGAGUAACACGUCAAUAAUCUGCCCUUGAGUGGAGAAUAAUCUCGGGAAACUGAGGAUAAUACUCCAUAGAUGUAUUAUAUUGGAAGAUUUAUACAUUCAAAGCUUCGGCGCUCAAGGAUGAGUUGGCGACAGAUUAGGUAGUUGGUAGGGUAAAGGCCUACCAAGCCAAAGAUCUGUAGGGGUGAUGAGAGUCAUAGCCUCCAGAGGAACACUGAGAUAAGGGUUCCAGCUCUACGGAGUGCAGCAGUUACGAAACCUUUACAAUGCGCGAAAGCGUGAUAAGGGCAUCCUACGUGCUAGCUUAUAGUUAGCUUUUGUCAAGUUUAAAAAUCUUGGAGAAUAAGGGGUGGGCAAGACCGGUGCCAGCCGCCGCGGUAACCCCGGCGCCUCAAGUGGUGGUCAUAAUUAUUGGGUUUAAAGCAUCCGUAGCUGGUCGAGAAAGUUUUCGGUGAAAUCUGGCAGCUUAACUGUCAGGAAGGCUGAAAAUACUAUUCGACUAGGGACCGGGAGGAGUCAGAGGAAUGUCAGGGGGAGCGGUAAAAUGUGUUAAUCCUUGAUGGACCACCAGUGGCGAAGGCGUCUGACUAGAACGGAUCCGACAGUGAGGGAUGAAAGCUAGGGGAGCAAAUCGGAUUAGAUACCCGAGUAGUCCUAGCCGUAAACGCUGCCUGCAAGGUGCUGCAAUUUCUUCGUGUUUUUGCAGUGUCGAAGAGAAAUCGUUAAGCAGGCCACCUGGGAAGUACGGUCGCAAGGCUGAAACUUAAAGGAAUAGGCGGGGGGUCACAACAAGGGGUGGAUGUUGCGGUUUAAUUCAACAAUACGCGGGGAACCCUACCAGGGCCGACAGCAGAAUGAAGGUCAUCCUAAAUGGAUUACUUGACGCGCUGAGAGGUGGUGCAUGGCGGUCGUCAGCUCGUGCCAUGAGGUGUUCUGUUAAGUCAGAGAACGAGCGAGACCUGCGUCUUCAGUUGCCACCGUUCUUAUUUGAGAG